CCCAGGUUCAAGUGAUCCUCCUGCCUCAGCCUCCUGAGUAGCUGGGAUUACAGAGAAAGGCAGAGGGAGAUUUGAAACACAGAGGAGAAGGUGAUGAGAAGACACAGCAGAAGGUAUCUGAAGACUGGAAAAGAAUGCUGCAACCAACAGGAGAAGGAAAAGACAGAAAUGCGUUUUCCAUUUGGAGCAUCCAGAGGGAGCACAGCCGUAUCAACACCUUGAUUUCGAUCCAGUGACAUUGAUUUUGGACUUGUAGCCUCUGUAACUUUUAGAGAAUAAAUUUGCAUUGUUUUAAGCCA